rnacentral:tRNA from 1 species
GGGCUGGUAGGUCAGCCUGGUAGACCGCGAGCUUUGCAAGCUUGAAGCCGUGGGUUCAAAUCCCACCCAGUCCA